rnacentral:rRNA from 1 species
CCUACGGGGGGCAGCAGUGGGGAAUAUUGGGCAAUGGGCGCAAGCCUGACCCAGCAACGCCGCGUGAAGGAAGAAGGCUUUCGGGUUGUAAACUUCUUUUGUCAGGGAAGAGUAGAAGACGGUACCUGACGAAUAAGCCACGGCUAACUACGUGCCAGCAGCCGCGGUAAUACGUAGGUGGCAAGCGUUGUCCGGAUUUACUGGGUGUAAAGGGCGUGUAGCCGGGUUUGGAAGUCAGAUGUGAAAUCCUGCGGCUUAACCGCAGAACUGCAUUUGAAACUGUUGAUCUUGAGUACUGGAGAGGCAGACGGAAUUCCCAGUGUAGCGGUGAAAUGCGUAGAUAUUAGGAGGAACACCAGUGGCGAAGGCGGUCUGCUGGACCGCAACUGACGGUGAGGCGCGAAAGCGUGGGGAGCAAACAGGAUUAGAUACCCGAGUAGUC